rnacentral:tRNA from 1 species
AGGAACUUAGGAUAUAUUUAAACCAGUAGCCUUCAAAGCCACUAAAAAGAGAGAGCCUCUUAGU